rnacentral:rRNA from 1 species
CCUACGUGUGGCUGCAGUAGGGAAUAUUGCACAAUGGAGGAAACCCUGAAGCAGCAACGCCGCGUGGGGGAUGAAGGUUUUCGGAUUGUAAACUCCUAUUGUUAGGGAAGAAAAUGACGGUAUCUGACGAAUAAGCCCCGGCUAACUCCGUGCCAGCAGCCGCGGUAAUACGGAGGGUGCAAGCGUUACUCGGAAUCACUGGGCGUAAAGAGCGCGUAGGCGGGAUAGCAAGUCUGAUGUGAAAUCCUAUGGCUUAACCAUAGAACUGCAUUGGAAACUGUACUGCUAGAGUAUGGGAGAGGUAGGUGGAAUUCUUGGUGUAGGGGUAAAAUCCGUAGAUAUCAAGAGGAAUACUCAUUGCGAAGGCGACCUACUAGACCAUAACUGACGCUGAUGCUCGAAAGCGUGGGGAGCAAACAGGAUUAGAUACCCGGGUAGUC